CAGCGAACACGUCGGAUGCAGCAUUCACCGCCCCGAAGAGGUCGCCGCCGCCGCUGCCAUCGUCGCAGAAGUCGAGGAUGUGCGCGGCUAUGGGGCUCGAGAUGCCCUCCUGCAAGAAACCAACAAACUCGUCAGCGCCCCUUGUUUCAUGCCUCAACUCCGAUCAACAGGAGAGACCAGGGCAUGACUUGAAUGGAUUUCUGAAUUCCAAACAGUAUGCUGUCGUGAUGUUUGAUUAGUGUCUUCUGUGAAUCUGUACCAAAACAGACUAGACAGCAGACCAAGGCCAUGGAUCGGUUGAUUCAACAGAGAAGGAAGAGACAGCAGAUUAUAAAACGAGCUUGGGGAUUAACUGGCCUGAAACUUAAACAGGGCCGCCCUGAUGAUGGACUCAAGCUCCAGAAUCAAGACAUGCCAUUGUAGAUGUUUUUUUUAAAGGCAGCUAGCUACUUGGAUUGCGCAAAUCAACAAGAACUCCCUCAUAUAGCAUCAGAACUAAGGAGACAACUUCCAGUAGACCUGGCCAAUGGAAAUCUCAAUUCUCUUAGCCUGUAAGCUCAGCUCUCAAUCAGGUAUUCUAUUCGUAACUCAGCGUAUUUUUUCUGAAGUUUUAGGCCUAACUCCCAAACAUCUUUUGUCAAGAGUAAGAAUGUAGCUGUUGAUGGUUGCUUGCUGAAGAAGAGUGGUAUCAAUAUUACCAUAGAAGUAGAUGUUUUUUGAAUUAUUCUUGAUUUUCUAUUGUGUUAAUAUCUCUCUGCUCUGUUUUUAAUUGGGAAUCCUUGCUCCUUGGGUCCCUGUAAAUUGUACAAAAGGUAAUUUAUCUGAAUUUUAUGGUCU